rnacentral:lncRNA from 1 species
CCCACUUCCUUGGUCUUCAUCCCAACAUAACCGGCCAUGUCCUGCAUGCGCUUCUUCGCCUGGUCCAGUGAUUCUGGCAUGGCAGUACCUUCCCUGAAAUACUUCAACGCCCACGACUGCGACGUCAGCCCGCUCAGCCCGAGAGCUCCAGCAACCAUAAAUGCCAUCAUAGCAAGGCCAAUAACAACGGCAGCAGGAAGAAUUAUAGGGCCGAAGAGAAUAAAAAGUGGGGUGGCAAUGGCCAUCCCGAUGAGCGUAUUCGUUAAGGUUAUGCCAGAGAGAGAUAGAAGACCACCACCAACCGGCAGAAAGGUUAACACAGCUAACACUUUGGAGGCUGAUGGACCCUUCUGUUGGCCCUUGUAGCCAGUAGUUGGAUCAUAGCGGUGCACUUGCACCUGGUGCGGCUGCGGACGAUCAGCCAUUGUCAGUAGCUUCCAAGUUCAAAGAAGUCGCCAAAAAAGAGUACAAAGAAAGAGAUUAUCAGUCGAACGAAGAGGA